rnacentral:rRNA from 1 species
UACGUAGGGUGCGAGCGUUGUCCGGAAUUAUUGGGCGUAAAGAGCUUGUAGGCGGUUUGUCGCGUCUGCCGUGAAAAUUCGAGGCUCAACCUCGAACUUGCGGUGGGUACGGGCAGACUAGAGUGUGGUAGGGGAGACUGGAAUUCCUGGUGUAGCGGUGAAAUGCGCAGAUAUCAGGAGGAACACCGAUGGCGAAGGCGGGUCUCUGGGCCGAUACUGACGCUGAGGAGCGAAAGCGUGGGGAGCAAACAGG